rnacentral:lncRNA from 1 species
CAGACUCUGGAGAUAUGCAGGCUCCUAUCAAUCUGAUGCCAGAAUAUCAUUGUUUGAGAGCUGAAUAUGUAAAGAAGAUUAGAAGGAUGUGAAGAAAAUCCUUUUUAUAAAGAGAGGGAACGAAUUCCAUCCGUCUGCAGCUGACUGAGUUUCUCUUUCCGACUUUCAUCCAGAGGCACCUAAGACAGCCAACUUCAGAAGAGCAUACUAAGAGAUACUUCUGGCAUGCAAACAGUAGAAUGUAUGAACUUUUGGACACUCAGUUACAAGACACUGAAGAAAUGAGAUGUGGACAGUGAAGAACCACGAAGAUGGUUUGGGGACUGAAGAACAUGACACAGCAGAUGAUGCAAAGAAUUGGAUUUAUUUAGCCUGAAAAAAACAGUAAGUCAAAGAGGAGUCAAAUCACAGCCUUCUGUCUAAGGGGGAGAAUACCUAGCUAGACUCUUUUUAAAAAGUGCAAAACAAAGUGCAGACAAAGAAAGCUGUAGAAUGUCUGUUCUUGGAUAUUUUCUAAAUUCAGCUUGGUGAGGCCCUGGGAACCAGACCCAACUUUGAAGUUUAUCCCGCUUUGAACAGGAGGCUGGACCAGACAACCUCCUGAGGCCUCAUUCUCUUUCCAUUUUCCUAAGGUUCUACUCUCUUUAAAGAAACAGCAUAUGAAUCGUUGCAGAUGCCUGUUAUUUUAGCUGUAAAACGAACUUUUAAAAGCCUUUCUUACAAAGUAUAGAACUACACCAGUACAAUCUGGAGUCUUAAAAAAAAAAAAAAAAGAAAGCAAAUAUGCCUUUUUCACACACAGUGCAUACCUCGGAAAUGAGCUGAAGGACUGACUUACAGCAACUCUUUAAAUGACAAAAUUGCUGAUCAACAUCCACAAAAAUAUGCAAUUGUCUGACUAUGUGCCCGGCCAUCAGCCAGAGUAGACCAGUGACUCAUUUGCUUUGUUCUCCCAUUCUUAGAUUGUCCUUGACUACAUUUCACCGUCUCCUCUCAUUCAGUUAGUUCUCAAUGCAACUGCAAACUUUUUCACUUCCCAAGCAUACAAAGCUACCCCUUCCCUGUGCUGCUACAGACACUACACUGGCAAAUCUUAUGCUCUCCUUCAUACUCUGAACUUUGCAAAACCACUUCAGACUUAAGUCACCUCAAUUUGCAGACAGUACACCGAGCACAAAGUGCCAGAGUAGGAACAUUACUGCAAGUGCUGAAGAGGGGCAUGUAACUUCCCUAGUGACAUCAUGCAGGUUCACAGUAGGGAAGAAAACUUAAAAAAAAAAAAAAUCUGGUAAAAAUAAUGGAGAUAAUCAAACAAAUCUUAAAAUGGAGCUCAAUACAUGUACAAACAAGCUUGGUUGUGACAGCAAAGCACUGAAGUCAGGCACUCAGACUUUGCUUUCAGUCUUUUGCCAAAGGCUUUCCGAGUGGCAAACAUUCAGUUGUUAUAUUUCGCUUAACAUUUUAUCACGUAAUUCCCAAGGGAACGUUAUGAAACAUUCCUCCUCCCAGUACAGAUCUUCUAGAACUUCUCAAUGCAAGCAUAACCAUACUUUUAGGGCCCAGUGUUAGUUAGCUAUGCUAGAGCUGUAGUUAAUGUUUCCUUCAAGUAUUCAGACAGUUACAAAGCAGAGAAGGCUCCCUUGUGGUUUGACUACCAGAUCAAUUUAUCGAAAGCAGGAGAAGUGCACUUUUUGUGGGCAUACUCUCCAAUGAAAUCUCUUUGAUGAAGAUUCUUUGCUCAUGCAGUUCUAGGCAUUAUGGUAGGCAUGCUUAAAUAUCGUCAAAUGUUCCCCAUUUAUUUCAUAAUCCGAAGGAAAAUAUAAGACCUUCAAUAUCCGAAGGAAAUGAGACCUCAAAUAAAAGAAGUGCUCCAGACCACUCAGGAGCCUGGAAGCACAGAACCUUCUGAGAAUUCUUGUCUCAUGUAAAUAAUUGUGAUGAACAUGUAUAAAAUCACCCCUCAGCUAUUCAAACCAGUAACUUAAAAACAGCUCUUAAACUGAAGAUGUUAAAAACAAGUUUGAAUCACACUUUACUAUGGAUGUAUAUGCAGAUUAAGAACAAGGCUUACUGUUUCAAAUGAGGGCUUGAAGAAUCUCCACACUAUAUGGUAAGAGAUCAGCGCUCGGAAAAAUUAAAACACUUGCUCCAAAAACACUAAGCCUGGUCUCCUUAAGUAAAAAGUAAGCUUUGCCAAAUCAUUCUGCAAAAUCAGCUCAGUAUGUUCAUAUGAGCAGCAGCGAAUGUUCUCAGUGUAGAAGACAAGAGUGAGAAUACGAAUGCAUUCCUCCUGCACACCGAACUCCUAAGAAUUUCAGAAGGAGAUUCUGAAUGAAAUUCAGAUGCUCCUUUAGUGUUCCUCAAAUGUGUUCUGCUCAUCGUUUUAUAAGGGCUAUCUUUAUUUUAUUUUGACACUGGAGAAACAAACACUGGAACUGUGACAAACUGCCUCAGUUUAGAGCAGAAAACAGAUCCCAUUUGAAUGGGCAAACAGAAAAAACUCUUUAGAAAGUACUCGUGUAGAAAAUAUAAUCAAAUGCAUUUGUAUUUGCAUUAUUAAAUGGCACUGAUAUUAAUAUUUCCAUUAUUUCUGACUUUGAUUAGUAAAAAACAAGAACAUUUUAAAAGCUACAUUUGUACUUCUACUGCAUCAGCUGAAAAAAAGAACACCCUAUAUUAAGAUCACAUUACAAAUAACACAGGAGGUAUCUAAUAAAGAUUGAAAGCUUACUAAGUCUGAUUUUCAGUAUAACUGUUCUGCCAUACAGUACUUAUUUUUCUAAAAUUUAUCAAUGCCACACUAUGUUGUCUAUAUACAUACAAAUCUCAUGCUAAAUGCUUCUGAGAGCUCCCAGUUGCUAUUACUAAAUAUUUAAUAAUAUAUUUUACAUUAUUUUCCUCUACAUUAGCCAUGUUUGCUCUUGACAUUUCUUUAGAAUGAAUGGCUGGCAGAGGUACGGUGCUAGGUGAUUAUCUUAAAUUAUUAACUCAUCCCAGCAGGUCAUUAAUUCACAGAAAACGGCCAGCUGUUUUGACAACAUUACUGAAUUAAUUUUUAUGUCAGACACAGAAAAUGUACUUACAUCGUAUUGGUGAAGAUUUGCUAGAAAGAAUUAUUGGGCAAUGAAAUAUAUGGUCGGAUAUUCCACUAGAGGCAUAAGCUGUGUACCACAUUUAAUUACAUUAAUUAAGCAAUGAACGACAGACUUUAAAAUGUGGUUCCCCAACAACAAACAAGGAAGGAUCACAGUGUGCAGUGUAAGUAAAAAAAAACUGGGCUGUGGUUAAAUCUACACUGGCCCCAAACACAUCCCAGCUUCUGUUCUGCCUGUUGUGUUUGUCAAGCACAGGCAGUGGUAAAGAGGAGUUCUACCUUUCAUACUGUGAAGUCAAAUGAAAUUAGUCCAUUCAUUUUUUUUAAACAAAACCAUUCGAACUAUUUCUAUUACUUAAUACAGUUUUAUUCUUCAUGAUGCAAAUAUUAGAUUUCAUUACAUUGAAACUGAACAACACAGGCUCAAAACUACGGGAUUUGAUCUUGGACAAAAAUUAAGAAAAAAUUAGUUAAUUAAUGGAGGUAAUUGACUUGAAGGAGUCAACAUUUCUAUAUGAACAACCUAGUAUUUGUAUUGCCAAUUACGAGGAAAGGGGGGUGUAAAAGAAGAGUUAAUUGAACUGGAGAAUAGUACAGGCACAAGGAGAACUUGCAUCCACUAUGAACAGCUACGAAUAAACAAAAUCAGAAAUCUUCUGGCCAUCAAAAGAUGAAAAAAAUAUCCGUCUCGAAAUAACCUUCUACAAGGGUAGCAACAGCAAAGACAGCUUUACAUGUUUAUGAACAAGUCUAUAACGUAGCUGGCAACGAUGACAGAGGACUGGAUUUGACCCAAGGGAAGCUGUUUUGAUCUGUACUCUCUUGUUUUUUUUCCCUAAGGAAAUGCCAGCUGAAAUAAUUCUCAAAAAUUAGACAAAAAUACAAAAAAGUACACUACUAAAGACUUAGUUGAACACACACUCAGUAGAAGAAAAACUGCAAUGUAAAGAAUCAUCAAAGAGAUCUCCAGCCUGCUUGGGAUUUGCAAAAUUAGCACUAUAGAUUAAUCCAUGCACUAAAAGAGAAGCUCAGCACAGGAAACAGGGCUUAGGCAUUGUACCCUAUUCAACUAAUGUGAAUGUACUUGGUAUUAACCAAUCAACUUCACGCACAUUUUCUGUACGUGGUGAAAAGUAUCACCACUGUGGCACUAAGACCUGCAUCCAUGACAAAAAGAGAGCAGUUUCCUAAACUAAACUACAAUGCAGAAGGCAAAUCAGAGUGGAUGGCACAUGACAAAGCAUGAAGUGAUUACUUGCAACAUGCAUCAGACCACCAUAUAUCAUAAACAAGGUAACUGUAUCAAUAGUAACAGCACUCUCUUAGGCUUCCCUCCACAAUGAUUACGACAAGGCUAUUUCAAUAAGGAAAUACGGUCCCUUCGAAGUCACCAUUAGACAGAUGUACAGCUUAAAAUAAAAGUCACAGGUAUAACUGACAGAAAAUAGCCCUUCAUGAUCUCCUAAGAAACAACAGCCAGUGAUGUCGGCACUUGAGAGGAGCAGCCUAGACUGACUGGACACAUUACUGCAUUGCCUCAGCUCUUAAUUUUUUUUAUUAUACCAGUCUCCUCUGAUUUUACAAGAUUUAGUUAUAGCAAAUAUUAGCUGGUAAAUGCUGUUAGUAAGGACACAUGGAGUGAGAAAGUUAAAAAACAGUGUGAUCUAAUACAGCUCCUUUGGGAGUGACUUUUUUUUUUCCCCUUCCGUUUUCAUAUAAGCACACUGAAAUAUUGCAUUUACAGUAACGAAGUAUCACUCUGAACCAUGGUAGAUUCACAUCAUAAUGCUUCCAAACUAAAUGCCUAAACAAAACACAUCCUCUAUUCCCUUUCACUCAACAAAUCUUCUAAAACCCAUUCAUUUAGCAAGUCUCUGCUGGGAAUCCUAAAAGCAGCCUGCUCUGCAAAGUAACACUGCUGCAGUAAACACAGCAUUUUGAUGAAGGCUGGUAAACUGCCCUUUGGCCAUUCAUCCUAUGAGCUGCCAACCAAAUCCAUAGAAUCCACAGGAGAAAACAAACUGCAUACAUCCACAUAGUGAACUAAAUGUGUAUGGCAACAAGUAGACAGAGAAACAAAGAAAUAUUUGUUUCUAUCAUUGUGAGAACAAGAUACACCUAUUAAAGCACACUCUGUAUAAGCUCUGGUGCAUGCUGAUCACCGUGGCAUAUCCUAAGAAUGAAAAGAACUCCAAUGUGACCUAUAUUCUAUGUCUUCUUAGAGCCUGGGAAGUACCCUUGAAUCUAAUUUUAAAAGCUACCAUGUAAAACCAAUUAGGGUAGGAUCCAUUAAGCGAAUCACUUUUGAAGGCCUCUCUCAUAACAAGCUACAAACAUGAAAUGGCACUUGCAAAUUUAACAUUGACUAAAAGGAAAAAAGAAGUCUGAAGAAGAUGAAGAAAAUCUUUUUUUCCCCCCCUCCACUGAGGUGAAACUUGAAAUUUUAGUGUAUAUGUAUUUGUUUCUAGGUUGUAUUCUCACCAUAUGCAUUGUUUCUCCUGGGUUAUUAAAGCUCAACUAACAGAUUAGCUGCGAUUUCUUAACCACUUCAGUAUUUGAUCUUGCUCAAAGGUGGUCUGGAAAAUGCUAUUAUUGGAACACUGCUGUAAGUCAACACUAAUGUUUUAUUAAAUGAAUUGUAUCAAAGCAGUGAAACCAUGGGAACGCACUGUAAGAAAAAGUUGUGUUAAACAGAGUAUAUUUUAUUUUAAGAAAAAUAUAUGGCUUUGUGAAAUUUCUUCCCAUUCUCCCCAUGCCCCAAUUAAUCCUGUGGUACAAGUUUAGUUUUUACUGUAAAAUCAAGUGUGUGAAGCGUGCACAAUGAUUGUUGAAUCUCAAAUAGCUCUAUUAAUUAAUUGGCAAUUUGCUCAGCAUACUGCACUGUCUACUGAAGUGACACUGUUGAACAGCUAAAAAGGAAAUGCUUUUUACACUACAGAAGAAAAGAGCAACAUAAAACAAAAUAAAAAAUGACACCCCUCUGUGAGAAGUAGGGGGAAAAAAAGUCACUGGCUGUAGCAGGUCUGGAGAGAGCUUAAGAGACACUCAGUGCUUCUUAAAUAGAUUUUAAUACCAAAAAGCUGAUAUGUGGCAAUACAGCUCGUACACUGUGACAUCAUGACUCGGCCUCUCUCGACUUGCACGGUUCCUGGAGAAGCAUGUUACAGGGAUUAAAUCCCUUUGAAUGCUAAUGUCUUCCUCUUUUGAACCACAAAGAAUAUUAAUCCUCCUCCCCUCAGCUACCAACAGCUGCGCUGUUUUCCUUCUUGACAGAGUGGAACAAGAUAGCAUGGCAUGAUUGACCUGAAUGUAAAUAUUGCUAUUUGGUUUUUGUUAAACUGCUUAUUUUUUAUGGAAAUUUAACAAAUCUGGCACCAAGUUAUCAACUGCACAAAUAAAAACAAAGCAUCCAAGCACCCAGAAAUAUCUUUUAGCAGUUAAAUUAUUUCUAUAACUCUUCUGAUGUAUUAACUUAUUAAUAAAUUAACACACUACAAUCCUCUCAAACAUUUACAGAGGCUAAUACAGGAAGUGAGACUGGAAUGUUCCCAG